GAGGGUGUAGCUCAGUGGUAGAGCGUGUGCUUAGCAUGCAUGAGGUCCUAGGUUCAAUACCCAGUCCCUCA
rnacentral:tRNA from 1 species